GCUUAACACAUGCAAGUCGAGGGGCAGCAUGGUCUUAGCUUGCUAAGGCCGAUGGCGACCGGCGCACGGGUGAGUAACACGUAUCCAACCUGCCGUCUACUCUUGGACAGCCUUCUGAAAGGAAGAUUAAUACAAGAUGGCAUCAUGAGUCCGCAUGUUCACAUGAUUAAAGGUAUUCCGGUAGACGAUGGGGAUGCGUUCCAUUAGAUAGUAGGCGGGGUAACGGCCCACCUAGUCUUCGAUGGAUAGGGGUUCUGAGAGGAAGGUCCCCCACAUUGGAACUGAGACACGGUCCAAACUCCUACGGGAGGCAGCAGUGAGGAAUAUUGGUCAAUGGGCGAGAGCCUGAACCAGCCAAGUAGCGUGAAGGAUGACUGCCCUAUGGGUUGUAAACUUCUUUUAUAAAGGAAUAAAGUCGGGUAUGGAUACCCGUUUGCAUGUACUUUAUGAAUAAGGAUCGGCUAACUCCGUGCCAGCAGCCGCGGUAAUACGGAGGAUCCGAGCGUUAUCCGGAUUUAUUGGGUUUAAAGGGAGCGUAGAUGGAUGUUUAAGUCAGUUGUGAAAGCUUGCGGCUCAACCGUAAAAUUGCAGUUGAUACUGGAUACCUUGAGUGCAGUUGAGGCAGGCGGAAUUCGUGGUGUAGCGGUGAAAUGCUUAGAUAUCACGAAGAACUCCGAUUGCGAAGGCAGCCUGCUAAGCUGCAACUGACAUUGAGGCUCGAAAGUGUGGGUAUCAAACAGGAUUAGAUACCCUGGUAGUCCACACGGUAAACGAUGAAUACUCGCUGUUUGCGAUAUACUGCAAGCGGCCAAGCGAAAGCGUUAAGUAUUCCACCUGGGGAGUACGCCGGCAACGGUGAAACUCAAAGGAAUUGACGGGGGCCCGCACAAGCGGAGGAACAUGUGGUUUAAUUCGAUGAUACGCGAGGAACCUUACCCGGGCUUAAAUUGCAGAUGAAUUACGGUGAAAGCCGUAAGCCGCAAGGCAUCUGUGAAGGUGCUGCAUGGUUGUCGUCAGCUCGUGCCGUGAGGUGUCGGCUUAAGUGCCAUAACGAGCGCAACCCUUGUUGUCAGUUACUAACAGGUUCCGCUGAGGACUCUGACAAGACUGCCAUCGUAAGAUGUGAGGAAGGUGGGGAUGACGUCAAAUCAGCACGGCCCUUACGUCCGGGGCUACACACGUGUUACAAUGGGGGGUACAGAGGGCCGCUACCACGCGAGUGGAUGCCAAUCCCCAAAACCUCUCUCAGUUCGGACUGGAGUCUGCAACCCGACUCCACGAAGCUGGAUUCGCUAGUAAUCGCGCAUCAGCCACGGCGCGGUGAAUACGUUCCCGGGCCUUGUACACACCGCCCGUCAAGCCAUGGGAGCCGGGGGUACCUGAAGUGCGUAACCGCGAGGAGCGCCCUAGGGUAAAACUGGUGACUGGGGCU
rnacentral:rRNA from 1 species